AUGAACGCUGGCGGCGUGCCUCAUACAUGCAAGUCGAGCGAACAGACGAGGAGCUUGCUCCUCUGACGUUAGCGGCGGACGGGUGAGUAACACGUGGAUAACCUACCCAUAAGACUGGGAUAACUUCGGGAAACCGGAGCUAAUACCGGAUAAUAUAUUGAACCGCCUGGUUCAAUAGUGAAAGACGGUUUUGCUGUCACUUAUAGAUGGAUCCGCGCCGCAUUAGCUAGUUGGUAAGGUAACGGCUUACCAAGGCAACGAUGCGUAGCCGACCUGAGAGGGUGAUCGGCCACACUGGAACUGAGACACGGUCCAGACUCCUACGGGAGGCAGCAGUAGGGAAUCUUCCGCAAUGGGCGAAAGCCUGACGGAGCAACGCCGCGUGAGUGAUGAAGGUCUUCGGAUCGUAAAACUCUGUUAUUAGGGAAGAACAAAUGUGUAAGUAACUAUGCACGUCUUGACGGUACCUAAUCAGAAAGCCACGGCUAACUACGUG
rnacentral:rRNA from 1 species